rnacentral:rRNA from 1 species
AUGGGGUGACUGCGUACCUUUUGUAUAAUGGGUCAGCGACUUAUAUUCUGUAGCAAGGUUAACCGCAUAGGGGAGCCGUAGGGAAACCGAGUCUUAACUGGGCGAAUGAGUUGCAGGGUAUAGACCCGAAACCCGGUGAUCUAUCCAUGGGCAGGUUGAAGGUUGGGUAACACUAACUGGAGGACCGAACCGACUAAUGUUGAAAAAUUAGCGGAUGACUUGUGGAUGGGGGUGAAAGGCCAAUCAAACCGGGAGAUAGCUGGUUCUCCCCGAAAGCUAUUUAGGUAGCGCCUCGUGAACUCAUCUUCGGGGGUAGAGCACUGUUUCGACUAGGGGGUCAUCCCGACUUACCAACUCGAUGCAAACUGCGAAUACCGAAGAAUGUUAUCACGGGAGACACACGGCGGGUGCUAACGUCCGUCGUGAAGAGGGAAACAACCCAGACCGCCAGCUAAGGUCCCAAAGUCAUGGUUAAGUGGGAAACGAAGUGGGAAGGCUCAGACAGCCAGGAUGUUGGCUUAGAAGCAGCCAUCAUUUAAAGAAAGCGUAAUAGCUCACUGGUCGAGUCGGCCCGCGCGGAAGAUGUAACGGGGCUAAACCAUGCACCGAAGCUGCGGCAGCGACACAAAGUGUUGUUGGGUAGGGGAGCGUUCUGUAAGCCUGCGAAGGUGUACUGUGAGGUAUGCUGGAGGUAUCAGAAGUGCGAAUGCUGACAUAAGUAACGAUAAUGCGGGUGAAAAACCCGCACGCCGGAAGACCAAGGGUUCCUGUCCAACGUUAAUCGGGGCAGGGUGAGUCGACCCCUAAGGCGAGGCUGAAAAGCGUAGUCGAUGGGAAACGGGUUAAUAUUCCCGUACUGGUGGUAACUGCGAUGGGGGAACGGAGAAGGCUAGGUUGUCCGGGCGACGGUCGUCCCGGUUCAAGCAGGUAGGCAGAGUGAUUAGGCAAAUCCGGUCACUUAAUGCUGAGAUGUGAUGACGAACCACCAAGGUGGUGAAGCAAUUGAUGCCCCGCUUCCAGGAAAAGCCUCUAAGCUUCAGGUUACCAACAAUCGUACCCCAAACCGACACAGGUGGUCAGGUAGAGAAUACUCAGGCGCUUGAGAGAACUCGGGUGAAGGAACUAGGCAAAAUGGUGCCGUAACUUCGGGAGAAGGCACGCUGGCGGUAGGUAAAGUCCCUCGCGGACGGCGCUGAAGCCAGUCGAAGAUACCAGCUGGCUGCAACUGUUUAUUAAAAACACAGCACUGUGCAAACACGAAAGUGGACGUAUACGGUGUGACGCCUGCCCGGUGCUGGAAGGUUAAUUGAUGGGGUCAGCCGUAAGGCGAAGCUCCUGAUCGAAGCCCCAGUAAACGGCGGCCGUAACUAUAACGGUCCUAAGGUAGCGAAAUUCCUUGUCGGGUAAGUUCCGACCUGCACGAAUGGCGUAAUGAUGGCCAGGCUGUCUCCACCCGAGACUCAGUGAAAUUGAAC